rnacentral:rRNA from 1 species
GAUGAACGCUGGCGGCGUGCCUAAUACAUGCAAGUCGAGCGAACAGACGAGGAGCUUGCUCCUCUGACGUUAGCGGCGGACGGGUGAGUAACACGUGGAUAACCUACCUAUAAGACUUGGAUAACUUCGGGAAACCGGAGCUAAUACCGGAUAAUAUAUUGAACCGCAUGGUUCAAUAGUGAAAGACGGUUUUGCUGUCACUUAUAGAUGGAUCCGCGCUGCAUUAGCUAGUUGGUAAGGUAACGGCUUACCAAGGCAACGAUGCGUAGCCGACCUGAGAGGGUGAUCGGCCACACUGGAACUGAGACACGGUCCAGACUCCUACGGGAGGCAGCAGUAGGGAAUCUUCCGCAAUGGGCGAAAGCUUGACGGAGCAACGCCGCGUGAGUGAUGAAGGUCUUCGGAUCGUAAAACUCUGUUAUUAGGGAAGAACAAAUGUGUAAGUAACUAUGCACGUCUUGACGGUACCUAAUCAGAAAGCCACGGCUAACUACGUG